UGAACGCCGUAUAUGGUCGGCUCUGCUCGUCCAGCUCGAUUUGCCAAAAAGCGAAUUUUAAGUCGACGCUGGAGAUAUAUAUCGUCUGAUCGAGACGCGACAAAAUCCCCUCGAUGCUAGGAAGUGGAUUCAUUAAGAGGGGGGACACGUGACUAGCCGGGACCAGUACCCGCUCCAGUUUCUGCGCUCCACUUGACAGUCGCCCUACGGAUAUCCUACAAUUACGAACACCACCUUUGUGUGGCCUGUCAUCUACUCUAGUCAUCGCUCUAAGCGAUGGCCGAUAAACGAGAAGCCUCAGGGUGCAUGAGCUCACUUUGCUUGUGAUUUGUUCCUGUCAUCCAUCAUACCGAUCUGCAGUGACAACAGAUGCAUCGCGGGUUGUCUUUACGACUCCCGGGCCACCUACUCCUCACCACCUCUCGGCAGACAGACAACAGGUUCAAAAACACGAAAGCGGCUUUGUUUUAAACAAGCAGUUUUAUUCGAUAUCACAGUCCACCCG